UACGUAGGGUGCAAGCGUUAAUCGGAAUUACUGGGCGUAAAGCGUGCGCAGGCGGCUUUGCAAGACAGAUGUGAAAUCCCCGGGCUUAACCUGGGAACUGCAUUUGUGACUGCAUGGCUGGAGUGCGGCAGAGGGGGAUGGAAUUCCGCGUGUAGCAGUGAAAUGCGUAGAUAUGCGGAGGAACACCGAUGGCGAAGGCAGGUCUCUGGGCUGACACUGACGCUCAUGCACGAAAGCGUGGGGGAGCAAACAGG
rnacentral:rRNA from 1 species